rnacentral:rRNA from 1 species
UACGUAGGUGGCAAGCGUUAUCCGGAGUUAUUGGGCGUAAAGCGCGCGCAGGCGGUUUCUUAAGUCUGAUGUGAAAGCCCACGGCUCAACCGUGGAGGGUCAUUGGAAACUGGGGAACUUGAGUGCAGAAGAGAAAAGCGGAAUUCCACGUGUAGCGGUGAAAUGCGUAGAGAUGUGGAGGAACACCAGUGGCGAAGGCGGCUUUUUGGUCUGUAACUGACGCUGAGGCGCGAAAGCGUGGGGAGCAAACAGG